AGCAGCCGCAGUAAUUCCAGCUCCAAUAGCGUAUAUUAAAGUUGUUGCAGUCAAAAAGCUCGUAGUUGAAUUUCAGGGUUAGUAGGUUGGUCGUGCCUAUGGUAUGUACUGGCUUUACUGAUUCCUUCUUCUUGAAGAACUGUAAUGUCAUUAAUUUGGUGUUGCAGGGAAACAGGACUGUUACUUUGAAAAAAUUAGAGUGUUUAAAGCAAGCUAACGCUUGAAUACAUUAGCAUGGAAUAAUGGAAUAGGACGUUUGAUCCUAUUUUGUUGGUUUCUAGGAUUGAUGUAAUGAUUAAUAGGGAUAGUUGGG
rnacentral:rRNA from 1 species